GGCGUAUCUUGCGUUGGCGGAGCUCGACCGCCGGUCGAAAUGAUGGUGGAUUUCAUUGACGCGCACAGGAGCGCGCACGGGGUCGAGCCGAUCCGCAAGGUGCUGCCGAUCGCCCCG
rfam:Roseisalinus antarcticus strain CECT 7023 genome assembly, contig: 0009